GUGAUUUUUGUACUAUCAAAGAACCUUUUGAUUAAACCAUCCGCAUAGUUGGGAUGAUAGUACUUUUUGUCUUUUGAACUCAUGCCUCAUAAUUUUAACUUGAGAUAUUUGGAACAAGUUUCCAUCUAGGGAAUCACCUCUAUUAGAGCUUUUCACUUGAGGGAAUCACCUCUAUUAGAGCUUUUCACUUGAGUAGUUGAAUUAGGCUCUUUCCUGGGAUCGACUAGUGGAUUUCUCUCAUUAAUAUUUAAAUGAUUACAGCUAUUUCAGAUGUCAAAAUAUUUUGUGAUAUUGUUUCAAGCACACUGUGGCCUUUUGAAAUGUCGUAUUCUGAUAUGUUGUUGUAUGCUCCCUAUUUCAAGUUCAGGAGUUUUCUUAGUAAACCUCAGCUUGCCCAUUUCGAUAUAUCUAAUGUUGACAGAAUGAAAACCAAGUUG
rnacentral:lncRNA from 1 species